UUUUGUGAAAUCCAUUAAAGAUUUCAUGGGACAACUGGGCCUCCAGGCCACAAGCAGAGCAAGCGGGCAUUUAUAACAGAGAUCAGAAGAAUGUUGGAAGGCUAGAGUCCUUGACCAGAGUGUACUAUCAACCUAAAGAGUUGAGUUGAGCAACAUUGUGAACACUGAAGAGACCAUAUUACUGAGAAAAACAGAGUUCAGUCUUCUGCAAGGCUGGCUUCCUCCAGCCUAACCAUGCUAUGCACUCGUGCUUCAAAAAGCCUUCAAACAUUAAUUAACGUUUUCUGAAAAGCACCCAACCAUUCGGCUCUGAUAGCAGCGAGAUUGAAAAGCACGGAGUUCUGCAGAGGUUUGGCAGUGUGGCGAAGGAUCCAGACACAAAACCUGGGAGCUGUGUGCGCCUGCUGCACUUGCCUUACUGAGAUGCUAUCAGCUGUAGAUCCAAUCCCCAUCAAUCAAAUGCACAGCAGAUGAAAAUCUUUUUUACCCUUCUGCCUUCUCUACUGAAGACAAUAUUUGCCUCUCAUGGAGCUGAAUUUUUUCAUCAAUGAAUUCGACUUGCAUUGGCCUUGUUCAGAGGACCUGAGUUCAUUUUCCAGAACUCAGGCCAGGUACCAGACAACUCCAGUGUUAGCCUCCACCAGUCUUUGUCACAUGAAUGCAUACACACAAGAAAACAUUCACACACAUAAAAUAAAAAUAAAUUUGAAACAA
rnacentral:sRNA from 1 species